rnacentral:rRNA from 1 species
CAGGGGAUCGAAAGACCUUGCGCUUUUAGAGCGGCCGAUGCCUGAUUAGCUUGUUGGUGAGGUAAAAGCUUACCAAGGCUCCGAUCAGUAGCUGGUCUGAGAGGACGACCAGCCACACUGGGACUGAGACACGGCCCAGACUCCUACGGGAGGCAGCAGUGGGGAAUUUUGGACAAUGGGGGCAACCCUGAUCCAGCCAUGCCGCGUGAGUGAAGAAGGCCUUCGGGUUGUAAAGCUCUUUCAGCCGGAACGAAACGGUUACGGUUAAUACCCGUGACUACUGACGGUACCGGAAGAAGAAGCACCGGCUAACUACGUGCCAGCAGCCGCGGUAAUACGUAGGGUGCGAGCGUUAAUCGGAAUUACUGGGCGUAAAGCGUGCGCAGGUGGUUUUGUAAGUCAGAUGUGAAAUCCCCGGGCUUAACCUGGGAACUGCGUUUGAAACUACAAGACUAGAGUGUGGCAGAGGGGGGUGGAAUUCCGCGUGUAGCAGUGAAAUGCGUAGAGAUGUGGAGGAACACCAAUGGCGAAGGCAGCCCCCUGGGUCAACACUGACACUCAGGCACGAAAGCAUGGGGAGCAAACAGGAUUAGAUACCCUGGUAGUCCAUGCCCUAAACGAUGUCAACUGGUUGUCGGGCCUUAACGGGCUUGGUAACGUAGCUAACGCGUGAAGUUGACCGCCUGGGGAGUACGAUCGCAAGAUUAAAACUCAAAGGAAUUGACGGGGACCCGCACAAGCGGUGGAUUAUGUGGAUUAAUUCGAUGCAACGCGAAAAACCUUACCUACCCUUGACAUGUAUCGAAACCCGCAGAGAAGUGGGUGUGCCUGAAAGGGAACGAUAACACAGGUGCUGCAUGGCUGUCGUCAGCUCGUGUCGUGAGAUGUUGGGUUAAGUCCCGCAACGAGCGCAACCCUUGUCAUUAAUUGCC